UGAGCUGGGCACCAGGGAUAUGAAGGUGAACAGGUCAUACCUUCAUGGGGCUGGCACUCCAGAGGUCACCGUGGCAUGACAGGUUCAGUGAUUUUCUAUGAAAUAAACUGACAAUCAUAUUAACAGGAAGAAAUUAUUCAUUUUAUUUUUAAAAAGUGUACAUAUGUACAUGAGAGUCCAGCAAAUAACAAGACUCAAAGGCCAAAUGACCAACCUGGAGAUAAGCUACGAAAGGGUGAGGAGGAGAAGAUGCAAAGAGGUUCUGAUUUUCUGAGCCAGAUGUCAGACUUCUAACUCCCUUCUUCUUAUACCUGGAAAGAUUCAGCUUGAAGAGCCCGCAUAAGAUCUAAGAGGAGUAAAUGUGACUACUAACUUUUCUCUUCAAUCUCAUGUAAGUCUACACAACUCUGAGGGUGGCAAGAACUAUUACCCCAUCUAAUACUUCCAGAAAAAAUAAAAAGACCUUUAUU